rnacentral:rRNA from 1 species
AGAGUUUGAUCCUGGCUCAGAUUGAACGCUGGCGGCAUGCCUUACACAUGCAAGUCGAACGGCAGCACGGGAGCAAUCCUGGUGGCGAGUGGCGAACGGGGGAGUAAUAUANNNNNNNNNNNNNNNNNNNNNNNNNNNNNNNNNNNNNNNNNNNNNNNNNAUACCGCAUACGACCUGAGGGUGAAAGCGGGGGAUCGCAAGACCUCGCGCGAUUGGAGCGGCCGAUAUCAGAUUAGCUAGUUGGUGGGGUAAUGGCCUACCAAAGCGACGAUGGGUAGCCGGCCUGAGAGGGUGACCGGCCACACUGGAACUGAGACACGGUCCAGACUCCUACGGGAGGCAGCAGUGGGGAAUUUUGGACAAUGGGCGCAAGCCUGAUCCAGCAAUGCCGCGUGCAGGAUGAAGGCCUUCGGGUUGUAAACUGCUUUUGUACGGAACGAAACGGUCGCCUCUAAUAAAGGGGGCUAAUGACGGUACCGUAAGAAUAAGCACCGGCUAACUACGUGCCAGCAGCCGCGGUAAUACGUAGGGUGCGAGCGUUGUUCGGAAUUACUGGGCGUAAAGCGCGCGUAGGCGGUUUGUUAAGUCAGAUGUGAAAGCCCAUGGCUCAACCAUGGACGUGCAUUUGAAACUGGCAGACUUGAGUAUUGGAGGGGGGGGGUGGAAUUCCCGGUGUAGAGGUGAAAUUCGUAGAUAUCGGGAGGAAUACCGGUGGCGAAGGCGACCACCUGGCCAAAUACUGACGCUGAGGUGCGAAAGCGUGGGGAGCAAACAGGAUUAGAUACCCUGGUAGUCCACGCCGUAAACGAUGAUAACUCGCUGUCGGCGAUAUACAGUCGGUGGCUAAGCGAAAGUGAUAAGUAAUCCACCUGGGGAGUACGAUCGCAAGGUUGAAACUCAAAGGAAUUGACGGGGGCCCGCACAAGCGGAGGAACAUGUGGUUUAAUUCGAUGAUACGCGAGGAACCUUACCUGGGCUUAAAUGUAGAGCGACAGAUUGUGAAAGCAGUCCUUCUUCGGACGAUCUACAAGGUGCUGCAUGGUUGUCGUCAGCUCGUGCCGUGAGGUGUCGGGUUAAGUCCCAUAACGAGCGCAACCCCUACUCUUAGUUGCCAGCAAGUAAAGUUGGGGACUCUAAACAGACUGCCAGCGUAAGCUGAGAGGAAGGUGGGGAUGACGUCAAGUCAGCACGGCCCUUACGUCUAGGGCUACACACGUGCUACAAUGGUUGGUACAGAGGGCAGCUACAUAGUGAUAUGAUGCGAAUCUCUAAAGCCAAUCUCAGUUCGGAUUGAAGUCUGCAACUCGACUUCAUGAAGUCGGAUUCGCUAGUAAUCGCGUAUCAGCAAUGACGCGGUGAAUACGUUCCCGGGCCUUGUACACACNNCCCGUCAAGCCAUGGAAGUUGGGAGUGCCUGAAGUCGAUGACCGUCAAGGAGUCGCCUAGGGUAAGACCGAUAACUAGGGCUAAGUCGUAACAAGGUAACC